UACGGAGGGGGCUAGCGUUGUUCGGAAUUAUUGGGCGUAAAGGGUGCGUAGGCGGCGCGGUAAGUCGGGUGUGAAAUCUCGGAGCUUAACUCCGAAACUGCAUUCGAUACUGCCGUGCUUGAGGACUGGAGAGGAGACUGGAAUUUACGGUGUAGCGGUGAAAUGCGUAGAUAUCGUAAGGAAGACCAGUGGCGAAGGCGGGUCUCUGGACAGUUCCUGACGCUGAGGCACGAAGGCCAGGGGAGCAAACGGG
rnacentral:rRNA from 1 species